GUAAUCCAUUGGUCUUAGGAGCCACUUAUCUUGGUGCAAGUCCAAGUAAAAGUA
rnacentral:tRNA from 1 species